UGGGGAAUAUUGGACAAUGGGGGGAACCCUGAUCCAGCCAUGCCGCGUGUGUGAAGAAGGCCUUAUGGUUGUAAAGCACUUUAAGCGAGGAGGAGGCUCUCUUGGUUAAUACCCAAGAAGAGUGGACGUUACUCGCAGAAUAAGCACCGGCUAACUCUGUGCCAGCAGCCGCGGUAAUACAGAGGGUGCGAGCGUUAAUCGGAUUUACUGGGCGUAAAGCGUGCGUAGGCGGCUUUUUAAGUCGGAUGUGAAAUCCCCGAGCUUAACUUGGGAAUUGCAUUCGAUACUGGGAAGCUAGAGUAUGGGAGAGGAUGGUAGAAUUCCAGGUGUAGCGGUGAAAUGCGUAGAGAUCUGGAGGGAUACCGAUGGCGAAGGCAGCCAUCUGGCCUAAUACUGACGCUGAGGUACGAAAGCAUGGGGAGCAAACAGG
rnacentral:rRNA from 1 species